rnacentral:RNase_P_RNA from 1 species
GAUAGCCGGAUAGCUGCUGGCAGGCUUGCCUGUCAGAGGAAAGUCCGGGCUUCACAGGAUCAGGAUGCUGGAUAACGUCCAGCGAGGGCGACCUCAGGGAAAGUGCCACAGAAAACAAACCGCCUGAUCAUUCAUGGUCAGGUAAGGGUGAAAAGGUGCGGUAAGAGCGCACCGCAGAACUGGUGACAGGGCUGGCAGGGUAAACCCCAUCCGAAGCAAGACCAUGUAGGGGCAUGGCUGCAUUGCAGCACUGGUGAUCCUGCCAGAGAUGUCCGGGUAGGUUGCUAGAGGCGACUGGUAACAGGCGUCCCAGACGAAUAGCUAUCAUAAAUGGUGCCCCGGCGCCUUUUAUACAGAACCCGGCUUACAGGCUGUCUGCU